GCCAGAGUGGUGAAGUGGUUUGAGCGUUGGACUACAAUUCUGCAGAUAGGGUUCGAUUCCCUGCUCAGCCA